UUGAACUAGUGAUCCAGGUUUACCAGAUGCCAGCAGUCCACGGGAUCGUUCUCUCCAUAACAUCCUGUAGGACAUAAGUGGCUUGGGGUUGAGAGGUGGACAAUUAUUGUGGCUUCUCCUUUCCCUACCUACAGGGCUUCCCAGGUGGGGCAAUGGUAAAGGCAGGAGACAGGAGUUUAAUCCCUGGGUCAGGAAGAUGCCCUGGAGUAGGAAACGGCAACCCGCUCCAGUAUUCUUGCCUGGAAAACUCCAUGGACAGAGGAGCCUAGUGGGCUACAGUGGCAAAGUGUUCAAGGGGACUGAACGCACACGGCAUCCCUCCUUUUUCCUACUCACACGCUUCGGAUUGCUUCGGCACAGUCUGAAGUUCUUUUCUUAUUAGGUAUUAAUCAAAAGAGGUACAUCAGGGAGGGGAUGAACCUGCUGCUGCUGCUGCUGCUAAGUCGCUUCAGUCCUAACUCUUUCCUUUACUGCGGGUACAUCAGGCUCUCCAAGAGGGCUUCUCAAAACUCUACUGUGCCUGUGAAUCACCUGGAGACUGCGUUAAAAUGUAGGUUCUGAUUGGACAGAUUUGAAGCCGGUUGGAGUUCUGCAUUUCUGAUUGGCUCCAGAGUGAGGGGCGGAGCUGACGCUGCUGGUCCUGGGAGGCUCCAAGCUACACGGAGAAGGGCCGCCCGCUCAGCAGAGUCCUGGCUUCCGGCGGUGGGAAGAAGGAAUGGAAGGUCUUGACUUUGAAUCGGGAAGCGGCGUGCCAUCAGGAAUGAAACUUGGAUCAGAGGCAAAGAAUUCCUCCUUUUGGAAUUGACCAGGUCUCUAUUGGACAAGCCUUGUGUUUCCAGACCUGAUCAGAACCACCUGGAUUUUCUUACGGCCCAGUCACUGUCCAGGCAGCACGAAACAUUUGAACUUGACCUAUGCUGGAAACGAGCCAGAGUCCAUGAAAAGAGAGGCCAGCAUCUGUUCACAGGAAUAAACACUUAUCCACAAGAACACUCGGAACUCUGGGAUGGACACUCCAUGCUUGUCUCUUCCCUCCUUCAUCUGAAACUCCAGAGACCACUUCCCACGGACACUGAUUUACUCCUCCAAGAAGCCCAACCGUUCCAGGAGUUUAGAGUGCAUUUUCUUA
ensembl:lncRNA